AGUGAACGCUGGCGGUAGGCCUAACACAUGCAAGUCGAACGGCAGCACAGUAAGAGCUUGCUCUUACGGGUGGCGAGUGGCGGACGGGUGAGGAAUACAUCGGAAUCUACUUUUUCGUGGGGGAUAACGUAGGGAAACUUACGCUAAUACCGCAUACGACCUACGGGUGAAAGCAGGGGAUCUUCGGACCUUGCGCGAUUGAAUGAGCCGAUGUCGGAUUAGCUAGUUGGCGGGGUAAAGGCCCACCAAGGCGACGAUCCGUAGCUGGUCUGAGAGGAUGAUCAGCCAAACUGGAACUGAGACACGGUCCAGACUCCUACGGGAGGCAGAAGUGGGGAAUAUUGGACAAUGGGCGCAAGCCUGAUCCAGCCAUACCGCGUGGGUGAAGAAGGCCUUCGGGUUGUAAAGCCCUUUUGUUGGGAAAGAAAAGCAGCAGGUUAAUACCCCGCUGUUCUGACGGUACCCAAAGAAUAAGCACCGGCUAACUUCGUG
rnacentral:rRNA from 1 species